CCUACGGGAGGCUGCAGUGGGGAAUAUUGGACAAUGGGGGGAACCCUGAUCCAGCCAUGCCGCGUGUGUGAAGAAGGCCCUCGGGUUGUAAAGCACUUUCAGUGAGGAAGAACGCCUGGUGGUUAAUACCCAUCAGGAAAGACAUCACUCACAGAAGAAGCACCGGCUAACUCCGUGCCAGCAGCCGCGGUAAUACGGAGGGUGCGAGCGUUAAUCGGAAUUACUGGGCGUAAGCGCGCGUAGGUGGCUUGAUAAGCCGGUUGUGAAAGCCCCGGGCUCAACCUGGGAACGGCAUCCGGAACUGUCAAGCUAGAGUGCAGGAGAGGAAGGUAGAAUUCCCGGUGUAGCGGUGAAAUGCGUAGAGAUCGGGAGGAAUACCAGUGGCGAAGGCGGCCUUCUGGACUGACACUGCCACUGAGGUGCGAAAGCGUGGGUAGCAAACAGGAUUAGAUACCCGUGUAGUC
rnacentral:rRNA from 1 species